UACUAGAGUAAGUAUUUGAAAAAACCAUUUGAUACAUUUGUGGUUCUUUUUAAGUAUAUUUACAUACAAGAUUUAAUUGAGCAUUAACUAGAAUGUACAUUGACCAAAGUGUGUUUAAAGUUUUAGAUUUGUUGUUGAAAAAAAAUUCUGGGAGGAAAAAAAAAGUUACAGUUAAUUUCCAAAACAAGAAGUAACCAAGAGUUAAAGUGGUUCUAAAACGACCUAAAAAUUCAUCUUUCUGCAUAAUUGGAGAUUAGAGAGUUGUUCUGGGGGUGAACUAUAUUAAUUAGGGGGAACUCAAUGCACACGAGUUUUUGCUCAAGGGAUUUGGAUUGUAAAUAGAAGUCUAACAUAAAUCCCCAAAUUAUCUCACAAUUUACAGCAGUUUUCUAGUCUGCCAGAAGAGGGAGGUAAAGCAAGAGAAAUGUAAUUCACAAGUUAAACAGAAAAGGGCAGGACUUUAGUUUUUCAUAAGUUACGUGCAGAUUUCACUUAAGUAACACUAGGUGCGGCCAGUGCACGCACCCUCCGCCCAUCUUGGCCUGACCCAGGUUGGAUGAGGUUUCCUCGUGGGGUUACAUUAAACUCUAGGACCACAAGCAAAGUGGCUCAGAGGCAGAGUAGUCUGUCUUAUCCUUGAACCUUUAGAGUUGGCUUCUGCUGAGUCUCGCCAGGACUCAGGGAACAACACUCGGAAAAACAACCACUACCUCCCAACAGGUUAAUGGGCUAGGAUUUCAAGGCUAUAGUUUCUUCUCCAAAGUGACAGUGCCACACAAAUAAAAACAACAGUAGUAGUCCAGGAGUCAAAGGACCUGAAUUCAGUUUCCACUCCGGGCAAGAGGGAGAAAAAUGACUAUUGAAUAGCUACUAUGUGCUGAAGUCUCACGUGGUCCUGUGACCGAGCUGGGUCUGACAAGAUGGUGAGCCACCUUGGAAGGCUGCUUAGAGGGCAGGGACUCAAGUCUACAAGAAAGAAGGUCCUUUCAUCUCUAGCCCCGCCCACCUUUCUUGCUCCUGCGAGCCUGGAGAGUCGCUGAAGGCCAGAAGCUAACCUUGACAGGGAAGCCAGAGCUAAGGAUGGCAAAGAGCCUGGCUGGUCCCUGAGGACACAGUGCGGCCACUGUCAGCUUCAGACAAUCCACUCUGGAGGUUUUUGACUUGAGAAAAAUAAACUUCCCAUUAUUUUGGGCUUCUGUUUGAUGUAGUCAAACUUAGAUUGACUGUUAUAACAUUCACCAACAUUAUACUGUAUUUCAGUUUUCCUUUAACUGAAUACUGCUAUUUUAUUUUUGCUUGAGAGCUAUGAUAAUUUAUUCUACUUAGUGUCUGAAUGAAUGAAUUCUUGGACCUUUAGCUUUUGGUAUUUUGCACUGAAUUCAGUUGUUUUUCUUCAUAUCUGAUUUUGAUUAUGCCCUGUUAAUUAAACUGUCAUACACAGAGGAUGCUUGCAAAUUGUUUUUUACCUGUAGUAUUAAUUAUUAAACAAAAACGUUUGGAGAAUAAAUGUCCUCAUUAUUGCCUAACCCUAUUACCUAGCUAGCAAUCAACUUUAAUAAUACUAACCUCAUUCACUUUAUUUAAUUUGGAAUAUCUGUGGGGUAGGAAAAUAUAUUGGGCUUGCAAAGCUUUAAUUACCAUUUCCUUUCUUACCCCACACUGGGAAGAAACAGGUGAUGAAAUGUCUAAAAAAAGUACAUGACGAUCAAACAAAGUGGAGAAAGAAGGAAGUCUACUAGCAGGAACGGAGACUGGGGGUCUCGAGCGGGGGCUGGAUCAGAGGCAGAGAGCUCUCAGGACAGGGGACAGAUGGCCUCACCACAGGCAGCCAGGGUGGAGCAUCUGGAGGGUGACUGCUGGGUGGACGUGGAGCUGAGCAGAGAGAAGCACGAGAGCCUGGAGGUAAAGACUCAUCUCCACCCCCGCCCGUCUCCCGUUUUCCAGGAAAGUUGGGUUUUGCUUUGUUUAUCUAAAUUUACCUAAAGAGAAUGAAUAUUUCAUUGGGAACGUAAGCAAGGAUGAUGAUUGGUUUUCAUAUUAUGUAUGAGUGAAGAGGUUUCAUAAACUCUAU